GCUAGUCACUGCUGUAGGGUGUAGGGCAGUGAGGGACGCAGGGGGAGGUAGCGGACUGGUCACAGGGGGGUAGGAGGAGUUCCUUGGGAUCUCAUUUUUGCUCAGAGGCCCAUACCAGACACUGACUCCUCUCGAGAUGUUCCCUGCUUUCAGUACCAUUUGCUGCUACUUUUUAACCUGUUAGUCCAAGUAGCAAUUGUGGUAAAUUACUUUGUGCCUGUUCCCUAAAGGACUUUGGGAUACAUUAUUAAGUUGUUUUGUUGGAUUCAGUGACAUGCGUUUUGUUAUGUGACCGGCCGAGGUGUUGCUGCAGGAGUCUAUUGACCUCAGAGUGGAGUUUGUUAACAGGAGAGUCUAUGGAGAGGAUCGGGAAGAGUGUGGUCCUCCUGGUGGGGGUGUGUGGAUACUGGUCUGUCGUCUCUGCUGGCGUGGCACCUACGAGAGGCGCCCUCCUAGACGACCAACACGACUACACCCCUCAAGACGACACCCAUGCCCACAGAGACGACCAUACCUCAGAGGAUAAUCACAUCUUUAACGCCCUUCAAAACAAUGACUCCAAUUUUCAAGACGACCACAAUGUUUCCAAGGAAAUCAAUGUAAUAAAAAAUGGCCCCACUGUCCCCUUAAAUUCUCCCAAGGAACACAGAAGAACUCCCCGGACAUUGGACACCCAGGCGGGUCUCUCAGCGCUGGCCCUUACAUCCUUCGCCCUCUUCUUCAAGUAUAUAGUGUACCAUGGCCUUAACUCAUACUUCAAGGACGAGGAGGAGAGAUCGCUACAACACGACUUUAUUGACAUGAAAAACAUCUUCAUUUGCCUUGACGGAGAGAAGACCUUAUUGCAGUGUCUCUUCAACUCUGACUGACAAGGAUGGUGACCUAUCUGACGGGGCUGACUCGCUACUCGAACUGACGAAAUUCCUAACCUGACGGAGGAGGUUUGAGAGAUGAAGAUGAAUAUAUCCCCAGUCCUUCUUAUCUUGGUAAUUUGGAUCAACUUGAGAAGAACAGGAGGAAGAGGAGGGGGGAGAGGAGGAGGAGGAGGAGGUUAGUGAAAGCCCAGUCCUACACUCUUGACCUGACGAAGAUCCUGAUCUAUUUAGCAACAAGUAAAGAGAAAUUGCUGCAGUGUCUCUUCCUCAGGCAUUGUAACUAGACCUGAGGAUGACAUUAAUGGAGGAAGAGGAGGAGGAGGAGGAGGAGGAGGAAAAAAUUGGGCCACAGAAGAAAAGAAGAAAAUUAGAAGAAGACAAAGAAUCGACUUUUACAGGUCAAGAAAGUACAAUCGGGGAGUUAAGACAAUAUUGACGGACCUCUUCACCUGGGACUCUUCCGGAUCACAAACCACCACCACCACCACCACCACCACCACCACCACAACAACAACAACA